rnacentral:rRNA from 1 species
GAACGCGCACGGAGCAAUUCGUGUGUAGUGGCGGACGGGUGAGGAACACGUGGGAACCUAUCCUUUGGUGAGGAAUACCGGCGUAGAAAUCGCCGACAAGACCGCAUACGUUUGCGAAAGCAAAGAAAGCUCCGAGUAGGGGUGCCAUAGGAGGGGCCUGCGGCCGAUUAGCUAGUUGGGGGGGUAAAAGCCUCCCAAGGCGACGAUCGGUAGCUGGUCUGAGAGGAUGAUCAGCCACACUGGGAUUGAGAACGGCCCAGACUCCUACGGGGGGCAGCAGUGAGGAAUUUUCGUCAAUGGGGGAAACCCUGAACGAGCAACGCCGCGUGCAGGAAGAAGGUUUUCGGAUCGUAAACUGCUUUUCUCUGGGAAGAGAAGGGACGGUACCAGAGGAAGAAGCCCCGGCUAACUACGUG